rnacentral:tRNA from 1 species
ACAGAUUUAAGUUAAGUUUAAACUAUUGAUUUUCAAAUUCAAAAAUUUUUUCUGUAG